UACCAGCUCUCCGAGUGGUAGGGAUGAUUAUUGGGCUUAAAGCGUCCGUAGCCGGCUUGGCAAGUCUCCUGUUAAAUUCAGCGACCUAAUCGUUGAGCCGCGGGAGAUACUACUAGGCUAGGAGGCGGGAGAGGUCGACGGUACUUCUGGGGUAGGGGUGAAAUCCUAUAAUCCCGGGAGGACCACCAGUGGCGAAGGCUGUCGACUAGAACGCGCUCGACGGUGAGGGACGAAAGCUGGGGGAGCGAACCGGAUUAGAUACCCGGGUAGUCCCAGCUGUAAACGAUGCGGGCUAGGUGUUGGGGUGGCUACGUGCCACUUCAGUGCCGCAGGGAAGCCAUUAAGCCCGCCGCCUGGGGAGUACGGCCGCAAGGCUGAAACUUAAAGGAAUUGGCGGGGGAGCACCACAAGGCGUGAAGCUUGCGGUUC
rnacentral:rRNA from 1 species